GAUGAACGCUGGCGGCGUGCCUAAUACAUGCAAGUCGAACGAUGAAGCCCAGCUUGCUGGGUGGAUUAGUGGCGAACGGGUGAGUAACACGUGAGCAAUCUGCCCUUGACUCUGGGAUGAGCGCUGGAAACGGCGUCUAAUACCGGAUACGAACCGCCAUCGCAUGGUGAGCGGUUGGAAAGAUUCUUCGGUCUGGGAUGAGCUCGCGGCCUACCAGCUUGUUGGUGAGGUAAUGGCUCACCAAGGCGUCGACGGGUAGCCGGCCUGAGAGGGUGACCGGCCACACUGGGACUGAGACACGGCCCAGACUCCUACGGGAGGCAGCAGUGGGGAAUAUUGCACAAUGGGCGGAAGCCUGAUGCAGCAACGCCGCGUGAGGGAUGACGGCCUUCGGGUUGUAAACCUCUUUUAGCAGGGAAGAAGCGAAAGUGACGGUACCUGCAGAAAAAGCGCCGGCUAACUACGUGCCAGCCGCCGCCGUAA
rnacentral:rRNA from 1 species